GGUACCUUAACCCCGGGUCUGCAUUCGAUACGGGCUAGCUAGAGUGUGGUAGGAGAUCGGAAUUCCUGGUGUAGCGGUGAAAUGCGCAGAUAUCAGGAGGAACACCGGUGGCGAAGGCGGAUCUCUGGGCCAUUACUGACGGAGGAGCGAAAGCGUGGGGAGCGAACAGGAUUAGAUACCCUGGUAGUCCACGCCGUAAACGUUGGGAACUAGGUGUUGGCGACAUUCCAUCGUCGGUGCCGCAGCUAACGCAUUAAGUUCCCCGCCUGGGGAGUACGGCCGCAAGGCUAAAACCUCAAAGGAAUUGACGGGGGCCCGCAAAGCAGCGGAGCAUGUGGCUUAAUUCGACGCAACGCGAAGAACCUUACCAAGGCUUGACAUAUACCGGAAAGCAUCAGAGAUGGUGCCCCCUUGUGGUCGGUAUACAGGUGGUGCAUGGCUGUCGUCAGCUCGUGUCGUGAGAUGUUGGGUUAAGUCCCGCAACGAGCGCAACCCUUGUUUGUGUUGCCAGCAUGCCUUUCGGGGUGAUGGGGACUCACAGGAGACUGCCGGGGUCAACUCGGAGGAAGGUGGGGACGACGUCAAGUCUAUGCCCCUUAUGUCUUGGGCUGCACACGUGCUACAAUGGCCGGUACAAUGAGCUGCGAUGCCGUGAGGCGGAGCGAAUCUCAAAAAGCCGGUCUCAGUUCGGAUUGGGGUCUGCAACUCGACCCCAUGAAGUCGGAGUUGCUAGUAAUCGCAGAUCAGCAUUGCUGCGGUGAAUACGUUCCGGGCCUUGUACACACCGCCCGUCACGUCACGAAAGUCGGUAACACCCGAAGCCGGUGGUCCAACCCCUUGUGGGAGGGACUUUCGAUUA
rnacentral:rRNA from 1 species